rnacentral:misc_RNA from 1 species
AAGUCGUAACAAGGUCUCCGUUGGUGAACCAGCGGAGGGAUCAUUACUGAGUUAUCCAAAAACUCCCAACCCUAUGUGAACUUACCACUGUUGCCUCGGCGAGCUGCGCUACCCUGUAGCUACUUUUGUAGCGACCUGGGAGCGCGUUAUAGGCUCGCCAGAGGACCACUAAACUCUGUUUUAUUUUGUAUCUCUGAAUCUUACAACUGAAAUCAGUUAAAACUUUCAACAACGGAUCUCUUGGUUCUG